GAUGAACGCUGGCGGCGUGCCUAAUACAUGCCAGUCGAGCGAACGGACGAGAAGCUUGCUUCUCUGAUGUUAGCGGCGGACGGGCGAGUAACACGUGGAUAACCUACCUAUAAGACUGGGAUAACUUCGGGAAACCGGAGCUAAUACCGGAUAAUAUUUUGAACCGCAUGAUUCAAAAGUGAAAGACGGUCUUGCUGUCACUUAUAGAUGGAUCCGCGCUGCAUUAGCUAGUUGGUAAGGUAACGGCUUACCAAGGCAACGAUGCAUAGCCGACCUGAGAGGGUGAUCGGCCACACUGGAACUGAGACACGGUCCAGACUCCUACGGGAGGCAGCAGUAGGGAAUCUUCCGCAAUGGGCGAAAGCCUGACGGAGCAACGCCGCGUGAGUGAUGAAGGUCUUCGGAUCGUAAAACUCUGUUAUUAGGGAAGAACAUAUGUGUAAGUAACUGUGCACAUCUUGACGGUACCUAAUCAGAAAGCCACGGCUAACUACGUG
rnacentral:rRNA from 1 species